rnacentral:rRNA from 1 species
CAAUAGCGUAUAUUAAAGCUGUUGCGGUUAAAAAGCUCGUAGUUGGAUUUCUGUCGAGGACAACUGGUCCGCCCUCCGGGUGAGCACAUAGUUUGGUCUUGACAUCUUGCUGGAAGCUGUUGCUGCACUUGGCUGUGUGGCGCAGUGUUCAGCACUUUCACUUUGAGGAAAUUGGAGUGUUUCAAGCAGGCACAUGCCUUUGGACACAGUAGCAUGGAAUAAUUAGAUUGGGCUUUUGCUCCAAUUUGUCGGUUUCUGGAGCUGAGGUGAGUAUUAAUGGGGAUUGUUGGGGGCAUCCGAAUUUAGCCGUCAGAGGUGAAAUUCUUGGAUCUGCUAAAGACGGACAACUGCGAAAGCGUUUGCCCAGGAUGUUUUCAUUGA